AAAAAAUUAACUUGUGCAAAAAUGUUUAGAAAAAAAGAUUAAAACUUAUCCAAGCAUGCUUCUAGAGAAUUAUGAAUGUGAUUUGUUCUUGCUUUCCUGUUUCAAGCUUCUGGUAUCAAAGAGGCACAGUAACAGCGGGGAAUAAGAACUAGAGUGUGAAGAUUAUUUAAGAAAAUAGAACAUUAUCUAAAUUUUUUUCGAUUCAUGACCAAUGUCACUAUAGUAACUUGAUGAUCUCUUUCGAUAUUGUGUAGUUAACAAAGCAAACAACCGUACAAGCUACAGGGGUGGCUUCAAGUUUGGUUGAGAUAAUACAAGGGUCGGGCUUCAAGUUACAAACAUUGAAUUUGAGCUUCCAAGACGAAGAAGAUUUCAGUUAGAUAUUUGACUGCUCCGCAAUUUGUGGUGUACAAUGUGUCUAUUUAACUUUUUACUCAAAUUUUGAAUUAAAAAAAAAGGUAGACGGAGCGAUUAUGGAGACCAUCUUUCCAUAAUUAGUGUGUAUAUGUAAUUUCGUUUUCAAUUUAUGGUGUAAUUAUACUUACAAACUCGAGCCAUGGCUGUAAUCUCUAGCAUCCAGCCGUGAUUUAUAUUCUAUUUUUUAUUUAGUGAUACAAAUUUUCACGAUGAGGUCAUUCAGUAGAAUUUUCACAUUGUAUCAGAGUUUAACUCCGGAAUUCAUCAUUGAGUCUUCCGUUAUUUCAAUUUGUCUCAGGUUUCUGCAUUGUU
rnacentral:lncRNA from 1 species